AUUGAACGCUGGCGGCAGGCUUAACACAUGCAAGUCGAGCGGGGUGAUGGUGCUUGCACUAUCACUUAGCGGCGGACGGGUGAGUAAUGCUUAGGAAUCUGCCUAUUAGUGGGGGACGACAUCUCGAAAGUGAUGCUAAUACCGCAUACGUCCUACGGGAGAAAGCAGGGGAUCACUUGUGACCUUGCGCUAAUAGAUGAGCCUAAGUCGGAUUAGCUAGUUGGUGGGGUAAAGGCCUACAAAGGCGACGAUCUGUAGCGGGUCUGAGAGGAUGAUCCGCCACACUGGGACUGAGACACGGCCCAGACUCCUACGGGAGGCAGCAGUGGGGAAUAUUGGACAAUGGGGGGAACCCUGAUCCAGCCAUGCCGCGUGUGUGAAGAAGGCCUUAUGGUUGUAAAGCACUUUAAGCGAGGAGGAGGCUCUUUUGGUUAAUACCCAAGAUGAGUGGACGUUACUCGCAGAAUAAGCACCGGCUAACUCUGUGCCAGCCGCCGCCGUAA
rnacentral:rRNA from 1 species